rnacentral:lncRNA from 1 species
CUUUAAAGUCUGUAUCUUAUUUAUUUAUUUAUUUAAAUCCCUAGUGCCUAACCCAUGGAAAGUGUGCUUGACAAAUCUUCGCUAUCGAGUGAACACCGGAAAAAGACACCUGUUCCAGUUACUUUGGCCUAGGAGACUCCAAUGAAAGAAUCUUUCUUCCUGAAAAGGACUUGUGUUCAAUUGGCUGUGAACAAGAAUCAGUGAGGCUGACUAUAAAAUUUAUCUAACAUCCUCAGGAAUUGAAUUAUGGUUCCAGGGAACAGCUAGCUGGUGUGGAUGUUGUGACACUAUUGGAUGAAGGAGGAAGGCACUGAGAAGCUACUGAACAGGACUGAUGGAGAAGUACCGCUUUGUCCACCACCGAUGCCUGCCUUGCAUGGCUACCCAUUUGUAAAACUCAUUCCAUCUUUCAACAUUAAAUCAUGGAUGUUUAAUUUCUCUAAAGAACUGGCUCAGUGGCAGAGAAGAAUUUAUCAAGAGGGUCAGACAAUUACACAAUGAUCUUAGGACAAUGUGUAAAAAGCAUCCUGAUGAUUACAGCGAUGUCUUUGUUUUAUGGCAGAGCAACUUAAUUUUAUUUGGCCUCCUUGAUGCUGGUGUUGGA